rnacentral:misc_RNA from 1 species
UUUCCGUAGGUGAACCUGCGGAAGGAUCAUUAUUGGAUUUUGAAACUUCAGGCUGCUGCUGGCUCUCCUCGGAGGGCAUGUGCACGCUUGUUGUCCAUUAUUUCUCCCACUGUGCACAAAUUGUAGACCUUUCAGUAGGCCUAUGUUGUUAUUCACAAUCUCUGAAUGUAAUAGAAUGGUUUUGAAUCUUGGGAAAUACAAUACAACUUUCAGCAACGGAUCUCUUGGCUCUC